rnacentral:rRNA from 1 species
AGCUCCAAUAGCGUAUAUUAAAGUUGUUGCAGUUAAAAAGCUCGUAGUUGGAUUGGUGUUGGUUAUGCUUCACAGGAUUUAACUAUUCUGUGAAUUCAUUAUAACCAAUAUAUUUGGGAUUUGGUCUAGAAUGGCAUUAAGUUGUUGAUUUAGUUCCAGCCCAUCGUUUACUGUGAAAAAAUUAGAGUGUUUAAAGCAGGUUUUGUAACCGUUGAAUACAUUAGCAUGGAAUAAUAAUAUAUGACUCGUAUGGUCUAUUUUGUUGGUUUGCACGUAUGAGUAAUGAUUAAUAGGGACAGUUGGGGGUAUUCAUAUUUGAGCGUCAGAGGUGAAAUUCUUGGAUCGCUGAAAGAUGAACUAAGGCGAAAGCAUUUACCAAGGAUGUUUUCAUUA